rnacentral:rRNA from 1 species
UGUGGUCAAGUUGUUAAGGGCACAUGGUGGAUGUCUUGGCUUCAGGAGCCGAUGAAGGACGUGGGAGGCUGCGAUAUGCCUCGGGGAGCUGUCAACCGAGCUGUGAUCCGAGGAUUUCCGAAUGGGGAAACCCAGCACCAGUUAUGUGGUGUUACCCGCAUCUGAAUAUAUAGGGUGUGUGGAGGGAACGCGGGGAAGUGAAACAUCUCAGUACCCGUAGGAAGAGAAAACAACCGUGAUUCCGUGAGUAGUGGCGAGCGAAAGCGGAAGAGGCUAAACCUUGCACAUGUCAAGCUGUCAGGCGUUGUGUGUGUGGUGUUGUGGGACCCGCCUUGGAAGAUCUGACAGUCUUCCGGGUUGAUGUGCUGGUUAGUGGAACGCCUUGGGAUGGGCGACCGGAGUGGGUGAGAGUCCCGUACGCGAAAACCAGUUUCAGAGACCUUGGUGGUGUUCCCGAGUAGCAGCGAGCUCGUGGAAUUUGCUGUGAAUCUGCCGGGACCACCCGGUAAGCCUAAAUACUUCCUGAAGACCGAUAGCGGACUAGUACCGUGAGGGAAAGAUGAAAAGUACCCCGGGAGGGGAGUGAAAGAGUACCUGAAACCGUGUGCCUACAAGCCGUCAGAGCCCGAGCACAUCCUUGUGAUGUUGAGGUGAUGGCGUGCCUUUUGAAGAAUGAGCCUGCGAGUUAGUGCUGCGUGGCGAGGUUAACCCGUGUGGGGUAGCCGUAGCGAAAGCGAGUCUGAAUAGGGCGAUUGAGUCGCGUGGUCUAGACCCGAAGCGGAGUGAUCUACCCAUGGCCAGGCUGAAGCGUCGGUAAGACGACGUGGAGGGCCGAACCCACUUAGGUUGAAAACUGAGGGGAUGAGCUGUGGGUAGGGGUGAAAGGCCAAUCAAACUCCGUGAUAGCUGGUUCUCCCCGAAAUGCAUUUAGGUGCAGCGUCACAUGUUUCUCCACGGGGGUAGAGCUACUGGAUGGUCUAGGGGCCUUACCGGGUUACCGAAAUCAACCAAACUCCGAAUACCGUGGUGUGAGAGUGUGGCAGUGAGACGGCGGGGGAUAAGCUUCGUCGUCGAGAGGGAAACAGCCCAGAACACCAGCUAAGGCCCCUAAGUGUGUGCUCAGUGGGAAAGGAUGUGGGAUUGCCCAGACAACCAGGAGGUUGGCUUAGAAGCAGCCACCCUUGAAAGAGUGCGUAAUAGCUCACUGGUCAAGUGGUCCUGCGCCGACAAUGUAGCGGGGCUUAAGCACACCGCCGAAGCUGUGUCAUUCACACAUACAGAUCGACUCUGCUCUUGAAGUAGUGUCCAGUCGUGUGGAUGGGUAGGGGAGCGUCCUGCAUCCAGGGAAGCGGCGGCGGAAGCCAGUCGUGGAGGGUGUGGGAGUGAGAAUGCAGGCAUGAGUAGCGAAUGCAGAGUGAGAAACUCUGCCGCCGGAUGACCAAGGGUUCCUGGGCCAGGCUAAUCCGCCCAGGGUAAGUCGGGACCUAAGGCGAGGCCGACAGGCGUAGUCGAUGGAUAACGGGUUGAUAUUCCCGUACCCGAGCACGUGCGCCCAGGAUGAGGCGGUUGAUACUAACCACCCAAAGCGCCAUCUGAGACCCUUCGGGGUGGAGGGUGGUUGUGGAGCGUGGGAUCUGAUUCCGUAGUAGUCGAGUGAUGGGGUGACGCAGGAAGGUAGCUCCGCCAGUGAGUGGUAGUACUGGUGUAAGCGUGUAGACCGAAUGGUAGGCAAAUCCGCCAUUCAUUAAGGUUGAGACGUGAUGCGUAGCCGAUUGAGGUGAAGUAGAGUGAUCCUAUGCUGCCGAGAAAAGCCUCUAGCGAGUGCGUGCACGGCCCGUACCCCAAACCAACACAGGUGGUCAGGUAGAGAAUACUAAGGCGAUCGGGUGAACUGUGGUUAAGGAACUCGGCAAAAUGCCCCCGUAACUUCGGGAGAAGGGGGCCAAACACUCUGAAGUCCCGUGCGGACUAGGGGUGGGUGGCCGCAGAGACCAGCGGAAAGCGACUGUUUACUAAAAACACAGGUCCAUGCGAAGUCGCAAGACGAUGUAUAUGGACUGACGCCUGCCCGGUGCUGGAACGUUAAGA